rnacentral:tRNA from 1 species
UCCCUGGUGGCUCACUUGGUAAAGAAUCUGCCUGCAAGGCAGGAGACCCAGGUUCAAUCCUGGGUGGGGAA